rnacentral:rRNA from 1 species
GACGAACCGUGCGAACGUUAUUCGGAAUCACUGGGCUUAAAGCGCGUGUAGGCGGGAGGGCACGUCCGUCGCUGAAAUCCCCCGGCUCAACCGGGGAACGGGCACGGAUACGACCUUCCUGGAGGGGCGUAGGGGGACCUGGAACUUCCGGUGGAGCGGUGAAAUGCGUAGAUAUCUGGAGGAACACCGGUGGCGAAGGCGGCAUCCUGGACCAACACUGACACUGAGGAGCGAAAGCCAGGGGAGCAAACGGG